AGGUAUCAAAUCCUGAAUUCAUAGGGGUUUGAAGCGAACCCGGGGAACUGAAACAUCUCAGUACCCGGAGGAAAGGACAUCAACGAGACUCCGUCAGUAGUGGCGAGCGAACGCGGAUCAGGCCAGUGCUUGUGUUGAGAUUACCGGAACGGUCUGGAAAGGCCGGCAGGAUGGGUGACAGCCCCGUACGGGACGGUCGAUACACAAGACUCGAGUAGGGCGGGACACGUGAAAUCCUGUCUGAACAUGGGGGGACCACCCUCCAAGCCUAAGUACUCCUCAGCGACCGAUAGCGAACCAGUACCGUGAGGGAAAGGUGAAAAGCACCCCGACAAGGGGAGUGAAAUAGAACCUGAAACCGGAUGCCUACAAACAGUUGAAGCCCAAGGUUCGUCCUGGGUGACAGCGUACCUUUUGUAUAAUGGGUCAGCGACUU
rnacentral:rRNA from 1 species